rnacentral:rRNA from 1 species
UACGUAGGGAGCAAGCGUUGUCCGGAUUUACUGGGUGUAAAGGGUGCGUAGGCGGCAAUGCAAGUCAGAUGUGAAAUGCACGGGCUCAACCCGUGAGCUGCAUUUGAAACUGUGUUGCUUGAGUGAGGUAGAGGCAGGCGGAAUUCCCGGUGUAGCGGUGAAAUGCGUAGAGAUCGGGAGGAACACCAGUGGCGAAGGCGGCCUGCUGGGCCUUAACUGACGCUGAUGCACGAAAGCGUGGGUAGCAAACAGG